ensembl:lncRNA
CCAGUCUUCAGGUACCUUUCCCCACAGGAAACAGCAGGGAAAAGUGACAGAGAGCACCAUUUGCCGGUCACCGCUGCCAGCUCUCAGCGGGCACAGGCAUAGCCCUCUACAGCUCAGGCAUUUGCUGGCCUCCUUUCUGCCUGAACCACUUUUGACCAGCUCCUCUGCAACUGAGGGGAAGGCAACCUUCCUCUGAGACUCUCUCCUCCAGGACCCCAGGUUGCCCAGGAGCACUCUCAGCAGAGACCACUGAAACCAAAACAGGCAUCCAACACAUCCUCCAUUACUCAGGCCCUUGCCUUGUGAAGCACAGGCCUGCAAUUUCUCCAGUCUCUCCUGUUGACAAACUUCCAUUAGCCUUGACCUCCCUCCCAAAGCUGAUACUCACAGGGACUUGGCCUUCCUCAGCCUCUCUCUUCCUUCUCCCCUUCAAGUUCCUCAGUCAGCCCUGCAGGUCCCCCACCAUUCCUGCGCACUUCCUUCCUCCUUGGGACGCAGCGCACCUCAGCAUGGACGAAGUAAUGCUCCAGCAUUCACAGGACCCCUUCCUAUGCUUGAGCAAGGGUUACCUCCAAGUAGGCCCUUCAAGAGGACAAACCUGGCUCCCUCUAAGUCCAGUGUUUCAAUCCUACUCAUUGCUUUGCAGCUUCCACACAAGAUCCCAAACGCUGUGGUCUCACGACUGGCACGCUCCAGGCUGCCCCUGGCCUUCCUGUCCCCAGAUGGCUCUUCUGCAAUAGGGAGCUCCUCAAUGCCUCCUUCGUCACCUGUGUCAGAAGAUCUUACCUUUGACACAUUGCAGGAAACUCCUGGAGCCUACCAUGAGAACUAGCCUCACAGCUGUGGGCACCAUUUCCAGCUGUGUGCAGAAGGUCUAUCAGCUUCCUCACCCUGGUCUGUGACCAACACCACCACUCAGGUCACCCACUUUUACCUGCCUCUUCAGCCUCACGCACAAACGCUCCGCUGGUUCUUCAGUCAUCCCUAGGUGGAGCUCGAUACGUUCCCGUUCUCUCCCUCGAAAAGAGACUCCACCGCCUGGCCGGUCUGCCUUUCCUAAAAGGAACAGAGCCAUCCACGACAGCACUUCAGUCGUGCGAGCUGCCCUGCCAGGUCUCCACGGUGGGAACCUAAAUCGUGCUCCUGCAGUUACACGGGAAGGAAGAGGCGGGGAAAAAAAAAAAUAAAACCACGGUCCCAACCUGCUCGCUCCCACCGCUGGAAACGGGAUGGGUGAGAGCACCCGCAAAACACUCCGCAGUGGCCGAGGCCACCCCGGGAUCGUGCUCGGUCUCGGGCGGAGGCCCCGUGCCGGUCCUACUAAAAAGCCACGCGGGAGCCCCCAGCGGCGGCGCCGUGCCGAUCCCAAAGACACGGAGGCAGUCGGGCAGCAACCCUACAGGAGCCCCAGCAGGGGAGAUCUUACCGAGCGACUCUCAAACACUCC